ACGCAUAUUGCGAUUUCUGGUAUUACGGAGAGCAUGCCUGUUUCAGAAACGUUUUACCCUCACAAACCCCACUCUUUUAACUUGUUUAAAGGCGUGGGCAAGUGGAUAUGAGAGUUUUCCGUGCGCUAAUUGAAAGAUAAGCCGCGGUCUCUUGAAAGUAAAUGUCGGUUUGCUCUUUUUAAAGCUCGCCCUUCGACAUAAAAGACGUGAUGAUGAUGGUUAACCACUUUUAAAGCGUCGAGAGAAGAGAAAUGAGGAUUUAGAGGAUUAACGAUUACUGUAAUCGCACAAGGGUGAUUUGUACCUGAAUGCGUGAAUUUGCCAGGCGUCCUUUUUUUUUAAAAGGGCGAAAACCUGAACUUUUUGUCUGAAAUCAAGCAAGAGAACCCGCUGAACUUAA
rnacentral:misc_RNA from 1 species